AAGAAGGUUGGCACGAACAUCGUGACGAAAGCAGCCAAGGAGCAGCUCAGACGAUGGCCUACACAAUGGGCUUUGAAUGUUGACAUGAAUGAAGUAUUGGAUUUUCUGGAGUCAGAAAGUGACUCAGUUGAAAGAGAAGAUAGGUCUUCUGGAGAAAAAUGCGUCGAGAGCGUCGCAGUUGUCAGGAAGGCCGUGUAAGAAAUCGAAUACACGAAUAUGGUGAGCCGCUGCCGGUCAAAGGGGAUAAGCGCUGAGUAAACAUAAACGACAGCCGAGAUUUGAAGCUGUGGUACUCAGGCAAUUCGAUUUGAAGAUCCCUUCGUGCUCGGAUGUACAAGCCGCUCGAUAUUUCUUGUGUUUACGAAAAUAAAUGAUUAAGUUUGGAA